rnacentral:lncRNA from 1 species
GUCAGAUAUGUAAUAUAAAAACGAAGGGAUGGGAAUGAUUGCUAAUAAAGGCAACUAUUCACCGAAGUUCUAAUAUAUGGUGGAUGUAAUAAACUAAAGACAAUCGUAAGGCCUUCAACAAUGACAAAAACCUGAUACUGUAAAGUCGUUUAUAAAAGACUCGACAUGAAAAGUGGGAACAAUCCAAACGAAAAAACUAACGGCCUAAUUAUACAUAACAAAAAAAUAAUUUACAAAAUAACAAAUAUGAGUCGACACAUGAAUCAACGACAACCAAUAAAUUACAGGUUCCUGACCUGGGACACGAAAAAAAAAAGAAUAUGACAUGUUCGCUAUAAAAAAGAAGAUGUGGUAUGAUUGCAAAUAAUUGCAAAAAUCCAGGAGACAAAGUUACACAAAUAUCAACAGCCAUAAGUCACAGUACGGCCUUCGACAAUAAGCAAAGACUACACUGCAUAGUCAGCUAUAAAAGACCCCGAAAUCAUAAAACAAUUCAAACGAGAAAACUAACGGCCAAAUUGAUUUACAAAAAAAUGAACGAAACACAAAUAUGUAUAACACAGCAACAAACGGCAACCACUGAAUUACAGGGUCCUGACUUGAGACAAGCA